UUAGAGUUUGAUCAUGGCUCAGGACGAACGCUGGCGGCGUGCCUAAUACAUGCAAGUCGAGCGAACAGAAGGGAGCUUGCUCCCGGAUGUUAGCGGCGGACGGGUGAGUAACACGUGGGUAACCUGCCUGUAAGACUGGGAUAACUCCGGGAAACCGGAGCUAAUACCGGAUAGUUCCUUGAACCGCAUGGUUCAAGGAUGAAAGACGGUUUCGGCUGUCACUUACAGAUGGACCCGCGGCGCAUUAGCUAGUUGGUGGGGUAAUGGCUCACCAAGGCGACGAUGCGUAGCCGACCUGAGAGGGUGAUCGGCCACACUGGGACUGAGACACGGCCCAGACUCCUACGGGAGGCAGCAGUAGGGAAUCUUCCGCAAUGGACGAAAGUCUGACGGAGCAACGCCGCGUGAGUGAUGAAGGUUUUCGGAUCGUAAAGCUCUGUUGUUAGGGAAGAACAAGUGCGAGAGUAACUGCUCGCACCUUGACGGUACCUAACCAGAAAGCCACGGCUAACUACGUGCCAGCAGCCGCGGUAAUACGUAGGUGGCAAGCGUUGUCCGGAAUUAUUGGGCGUAAAGGGCUCGCAGGCGGUUUCUUAAGUCUGAUGUGAAAGCCCCCGGCUCAACCGGGGAGGGUCAUUGGAAACUGGGAAACUUGAGUGCAGAAGAGGAGAGUGGAAUUCCACGUGUAGCGGUGAAAUGCGUAGAGAUGUGGAGGAACACCAGUGCGCGAAGGCGACUCUCUGGUCUGUAACUGACGCUGAGGAGCGAAAGG
rnacentral:rRNA from 1 species